UACGGGGGGGGCAAGCGUUGUUCGGAAUUACUGGGCGUAAAGGGCUCGUAGGUGGCCAACUAAGUCAGACGUGAAAUCCCUCGGCUUAACCGGGGAACUGCGUCUGAUACUGGAUGGCUUGAGUUUGGGAGAGGGAUGCGGAAUUCCAGGUGUAGCGGUGAAAUGCGUAGAUAUCUGGAGGAACACCGGUGGCGAAGGCGGCUCACUGGACCAUAACUGACGCUGAGGCGCGAAAGCGUGGGGAGCAAACAGG
rnacentral:rRNA from 1 species